rnacentral:rRNA from 1 species
CCUACGGGUGGCAGCAGUGAGGAAUAUUGGUCAAUGGCCGGAAGGCUGAACCAGCCAAGUAGCGUGAGGGAAGACUGUCCCAUGGGUUGUAAACCUCUUUUAUCCGGGGGUAAAGGUGUCCACGCGUGGCGGUUUGCGGGUACCGCAUGAAUAAGCACCGGCUAAUUCCGUGCCAGCAGCCGCGGUAAUACGGAGGAUCCGGGCGUUAUCCGGAUUUAUUGGGUUUAAAGGGAGGGCAGGCGGAAGUUCAAGCUUGCGGGAAAAUUGUGUGGCUCAACCUCUAAGUGCCGCGGCGAAUGGUGUUCUUGAGUGAGCGAGAGGCAGGCGGAAUGCGUGGUGUAGCGGUGAAAUGCAUAGAUAUCACGCAGAACCCCGAUUGCGAAGGCAGCAUGCCGGCGCGCUACUGACGCUGAAGCACGAAAGUGUGGGUAUCGAACAGGAUUAGAUACCCGGGUAGUC